AUACGGAGGGCGCGAGCGUUAUUCGGAAUUAUUGGGCGUAAAGCGCGUGUAGGCGGCUGGGUAAGUCGGAUGUGAAAGCCCGGGGCUCAACCUCGGAAUUGCAUUCGAAACUACCCAGCUAGAGUCUCGGAGAGGAGGGCGGAAUUCCCGGUGUAGAGGUGAAAUUCGUAGAUAUCGGGAGGAACACCAGUGGCGAAGGCGGCCCUCUGGACGAUGACUGACGCUGAGACGCGAAAGCGUGGGGAGCAAACAGGAUUAGAUACCCCGGUAGUCC
rnacentral:rRNA from 1 species